GCUGGCUUGGCUCAGUGGUUGAGCGUCCGUCUAUGAACCAGGAGGUCAGGAUUCAAUUCCUAGUCAGGG
rnacentral:tRNA from 1 species